GGCGCAGCCUUCGCGUUGUGUCCAGGAUGACAUCUUUACGCGCCCGGCGUCGCGAGCCGGGCGGAGGUUCUGCUGCCUGUGCAACAGGCGAGGGGACGGCGCGAAAUGCCGCCGCGGGAGGGAGGUCUGCAGUCGUCCCUCGGAGCCGGCCUGCUGGCCUUUCCCUUUGUCUCCUGCAUACAGACCUUUGGAUUCCAAUUCCACCAAGAAGUCGGGCCAGACCCUGUUGAAGUUUUACAAUAACCCGGCCGGUCCGACGGGGUCUCAUCCAGGCGGUGGGGCAGAGAGAGACAAGAGAGACACAGGACCCCGGUGAAGGGUCCCCAGGCUUGUAGGGGAAAAGACUGGACACAGGGACUAGAGGACGAGAUGGAACAAUGCUAAUAGCAUCUACGAACUUAGUGAAGUGUUACUGGUCCUUAGCUCAGAGCAGAGGAUGUCGUGAAGACAAGAUAACCCACCUAGUUCUGCACAUCCUGCCAUGAAGAGCAGAGGAAUCUCUUGGAAUCUGAAUUUAGCUUCAGGAGCUUACCUAUUGUUACAACACUGAAUUACCCUCUUGUAAGACCUUGGACAAGUCCUCUAAUGCCUUGAUAUCUCAGAUUUUUUUUCAAUUCUCCCUGAAGAUAAGAAUAGUAUCCACCUCAUAGCGGUGGUGUGGGAACUCCAUGAGACGAUGCAUGUGAAGCCCCUCACACGGUCUCUGGGGCCAUGGCAGACAGUGAACAGGACAGGAGGACUCCUGGUGAUUUAUUAAGAAGGUGAAAUUAUGUGCCCAGUUGGGAACUCUGGGGAGCUCUCGCUGAAAUUAACUCGAGCAUUUUGGAGCCAGAUUUACACGGCAGAAUGGACCUGGGACUCUGCUCCUUUUGGCAGAAGCUGCUGGGCCACUGGAU